rnacentral:rRNA from 1 species
GCGGCACGCCUAACACGUGCAAGUCGAACGCAGUAGCAAUACUGAGUGGCAAACGGGUGAGUAUAAUGUGGGAAUCUGCCUUUUGGUUCGGAAUAACACGAGGAAACCUGUGCUAAUACCGGAUAAGUCCUAACGGAGAAAGUUUUAAUGCCAAAAGAUGAGCCCGCAUUUGAUUAGCUAGUUGGUAAGGUAAAAGCUUACCAAGGCGACAAUCAAUAGCUGGUCUGAGAGGAUGGUCAGCCACACUGGGACUGAGACACGGCCCAGACUCC